GCCAUUAAAACUAAAGAAGAAGGUGCUGUGCACGGGCUCAUUUGACUACGCAUAGUACUGUAUUAGAGGUAAAAAAAUCAUAUAAAUACUGUUCGGCUUCUCGCACAAACCGAUCGUUUCGUUUCUUAGGAUAUCAAUGUGUCGUCACGAGCGGCAGGGUUUAAUUUGGAUUUGUAUGUGCAUGUUUUUACUGUCUGAGAUUUUGUUACUAUUCACAUGCAUACAGACUGAAACGGUUGGAGUUUCUACAUUUGUGUUGUACUGAAGAAACAAAAUCACAUACAUCUUGGAUGACCUCGGGGUAAGCUGAUAAAUAUAAAAAAAUCAUUUUAAGAUGAAUCCCGUACGUUGGCGGCUGUUUUAAACUGGGUGCUCGGCUCAGACCCUUUUGCCAGUAUGAAGCCGAUUUCAACGGUAACUGCAGAAAGCGUCAGCACGCUCAGCUCAUCACUGGAGUAACGUCUGUACAACGGGUGAGAUAAAACUCAACGCCUGACUGAAUCAUCCAUUCCCUUUUCGAUCCUACGCCAUACGUUAAACUUGAGGUAAUCUUGCUUUUGCUGUUCUAAAAUAAACACUGCUCUUAGCACACCACCCGUACAUGGCACACAAAACAGGUCUUGUGAGGGGGCUGUGCCCACACAUAGAAAUUCUGUAGGUCCACGGGCUUCUCCCCUUUCAGCGAACAUCACAGCGCUUAGUCCACCAUCGUGGUCUCCAAUCUCCAUUACCAACAGCCUGAGUGCUACACCUACAGACACCCCAACCCAUGCAGCAGCUGGCAGAAGUCAGACAUCAGGCCAAACUGGAUUUCAACACACCCCACCCUUACAUGGCACACAAGUAUACGACACACAACACAGGUCUUCUCAGGAGGCUGUGCCUACAGGUAGGAAUUAUACAAAGUGAUCUCUCUCGGUUUACUCUGACAUAUCUACGUACAAUGUUUUGCUAGUAAUCUGCUAUGCCUGCUUUUUCUUGUGUUCUACAGCAAUAGGCUUUACGCCCAGCUGCACUACUUCCUGAACUUCAGCCAGCUCCUUGUUUCCUGUCUGCCAUUAUUGGACAAACUGAUUAAUCCAGGUGUGCCUCAGCUUAGUAGUCACAACAACAAUAAUCAGACACACCUGGAUUUAUCAGUUUGUCCAGUAAUGGCAGACAGGAAACAAGGAGCUGGCUGAAAUUCAGGAAGUAGUGCAGCUGGGCAUAAAGCCUAUUGCUAAGGAGAUCCUCAUCCAGCUCGAUUUUAUUAGAGAGCAGCAGUUGCAGACUUCACCCCUGACCCAACACAUUUUGGGCUCCCACUUUCAACUAUUGAGGAGCUACAAUGUUUGUAGGAGACAUUAAAUAAUCCAGAUGAGAAGAAGAAUUUGGUGAGACUGUUUUUCCUGGAAUGGUCGGAGACAAGACUCUUAAAGACACCGUGGGGUGGGUCCUGAAAAAAACAAUAAACUCUUCGUGGCGAGACUCAUCAAUUGAAGUGGGGUCAACUGAAGCCUGCAUUCAAAGGGCUCACUUUGAAAAGUGUGGUUUUGGAUGCAGUCCGCCGGAAUGCCCUGACCAAAGAUAACACAGAAAAGGAGAUAGAGCUCCUCAUCACCAGGUGGUCGGUGCUAGCAUAUGACAGGGAUGGUGGCCGAAUCCAGACAAUAGACAGACAAUGAAUUAAAAUGUUUUAAAUUUAAAAAUGUUGAUUUUUGGAAAAUUCGUAUUUGAACUGAUUUUGUGUGUGUGUGUGCACCUGGUAAUUAUCACGUUGUGUCCCCACAAAGAUAGGAAUACUAGUAUUUUUGUGACCUUGUGUCCCCAUGAGGAAACAAGCUUAUAAAUCAAACAAAAUGAUGUUUCUUGUAAAUGUGAAGUAGGAGAAGGGUUUCUGUGAUGGUUGGGUUUAGGGAAUGGGGUAGGUAAGGGGAAUAAAAUAUACAGUUUGUAUGGUAUAAAAUGCAUUACGUCUAUGGAAUGUCCCCACAAAACAUGGAAACCUGUUUGUGUGUACGAGAGAGAGAGAAUGUGUGUUCAAGUGAAUAAAAAAUGCAUUAAACGUGAAAUCCUU